rnacentral:rRNA from 1 species
GAUGAACGCUGGCGGCGUGCCUAAUACAUGCAAGUCGAGCGAACAGACGAGGAGCUUGCUCCUCUGACGUUAGCGGCGGACGGGUGAGUAACACGUGGAUAACCUACCUAUAAGACUGGGAUAACUUCGGGAAACCGGAGCUAAUACCGGAUAAUAUAUUGAACCGCAUGGUUCAAUAGUGAAAGACGGUUUUGCUGUCACUUAUAGAUGGAUCCGCGCCGCAUUAGCUAGUUGGGAAGGUAACGGCUUACCAAGGCAACGAUGCGUAGCCGACCUGAGAGGGUGAUCGGCCACACUGGAACUGAGACACGGUCCAGACUCCUACGGGAGGCAGAGGUAGGGAAUCUUCCGCAAUGGGCGAAAUCCUGACGGAGCAACGCCGCGUGAGUGAUGAAGGUCUUCGGAUCGUAAAACUCUGUUAUUAGGGAAGAACAAAUGUGUAAGUAACUAUGCACGUCUUGACGGUACCUAAUCAGAAAGCCACGGCUAACUACGUG